rnacentral:rRNA from 1 species
UACGGAGGGUGCGAGCGUUGUCCGGAAUUAUUGGGCGUAAAGAGCUCGUAGGUGGCUUGUCGCGUCUGCCGUGAAAGCCCAUGGCUUAACUAUGGGUCUGCGGUGGAUACGGGCAGGCUAGAGGCUGGUAGGGGCAAGCGGAAUUCCUGGUGUAGCGGUGAAAUGCGCAGAUAUCAGGAGGAACACCGGUGGCGAAGGCGGCUUGCUGGGCCAGUUCUGACGCUGAGGAGCGAAAGCGUGGGGAGCGAACAGG